CUUUGUCCUAUUUGUACAAGCCCUGCUGAGUUUCAAGUCACAACACAGCUUGUGGGUAAGCCCGUGUUUGUCCUUCACCUCAUUCACUGUCUCCUUCAUCACUACCUCCCUUUACCCUUGUUCUCUCACCCUAUUGCUUUAGAAAACCCCAUUCCUCUGGGCAGUCUAUUUGAACUACUGUGCAUAGCCUCCCACUGCUGUUUGGCCCUCUCUCUCUCAUGUCUGGAGUUCCUCAAGUUUUAUUUUUACUGUCACCAUCUUCCACAACACUUUCUGCUGUCCCUUGGUUCCUUUUUCCAUAGACGGGGCUCUGGACCUGGGCCAUGUUAUACCUCCAGCAAGAACAUCCUGAGUAGUCAGCAUGCACAAAAAUGCCAGGGGAGUUGGACCAGAUGGCCUUUACAAGUCUCUUCCAACUCGAACGAUUCUAUGAUAAGGGGGAGAGAGCCCAUCUGAGGUUGUGUCUGUCCUGAGAGCGCCAUGGCAGGCAAUCCCUGCAGCCUUCAGACCCAAACGAGCCAGCAGAUCCUGGUUUGUACACCAACGUGCACAGGAAUAGAAUGACGAUUCAUGCAGGGGAGCAGGAUAUUAGAUACAAAUAAGAAGUCUUUCUUUUGCUAAAAAUAUGAAUUCUUCCCCCUGUGAACAGACAGGCAAUAAAGGUGCCAUCUCCCCCCUGUACGCACACCCACAGGACCAAGGGUUCACCUCCUUCCACGAGACAGAGCACACAGCAGCGUGUCCCCAGAGGGCUUUCAGGAGACACGAGCAUCCUUGCAGUAGGAGUGCUGAGCCCUACCAGGGAGGGGCAGCUGCUUCCCAAACCUCCCCUCACUGCUCCACAUAGGGCUUCCUGCCCAAGCUGCACCUGCUCCUUGGAUCACCCUCAGCAAAUCAAGCUGAGUGCUGAAGGGGAAGGCUGAAUCCCCAUGGAGUCGCAUCUCACAAUAUGACUGAAAACCCCAUAUUUUAGGGCAAAAGCCUCCUCCUUCCCCUUCACAGAGCCUUCUAGUAACCUGGCUGAGCUCUAUACAUAUAUAUAUAUAUAUAUAUAUAUAUAUGUAAAGCUUAGUGCCAUCCUUGGCAACACAUAGCAGCAGAGAGCCCAGCCCAGCCCAUUUUCUCCCCAUGGAGAUCAGCCGGUGGCACUGCGGUACUUUUGAUUUUCUCUAGAAACCUGUCUCUUCAGGAUUUCUUUUCUAUUUUUUUUUUUUUUUUUUUUUUUUUUGAAGUCAAAGUCUGUUUCCCGUUUGGUAGGUGACCUGUUUAAUGUUUUCCCUGUGUCUGGGAACUCCUUAGUGUAAUUAGCGACCUUUGAACUCCACAACUAAUCCUGAGCUAUUUUGUAUUCCUUACUCAUCUUUAAGGCUGGACCUUUCUUUUCUUUUGAGUCCGCUGCCACAAUUAAAGAAGAAACAGCUGCAUUUCAAAGGGAUUCCAAUUCCAGAAGCUUAAUCGUGAUUGACAUGUUCUUAUUCUAAGCUAUAAGAAACUCUAAGAGUCCUUUCUUGGGUUAAAACUUCAAUCAUUUUCUAAAAAAUUAUCUCAAUAUGGAUUUUAUUCAUUUUCUUUGAUAACCAUUCUUUGCAGUUUUUUUUUUUUUUUAACUUGAAAGAUGCUUUGAGUUUGCAAUGAAUAUGAACUGCGCCCUGCUCUGAAAGAAUGAAUGGUGUCAGGCGCAUUCUAGAUGCAGAAGUGGCUAAAUUCCAUUUAUUGCCAACAUCUGAUGAUGAAAUCUGAUGUCCGCCGUGUAGCUUGACAUCCUCCCGUAUACCCAAAAGGUGGGAGAGGUGGAAGGGCUUGCAAACGGAAGGCAACAAGAAAGCGUGUACAAGAAAUCUACAUUUUUAACUGCUUUCUCCAAUUUUUAUAGCACAGAUUAUAAAGCCAUUGCCUUACAGCCAUGGAAGAGCACCGUCUCUCCUUUCCAGUGUGAAUGGAUCGUCCACAAAAAAAAAAAAAACAAAAAAAAAAACAUGAUAAAAUAUAAGUAAUUCAUUUGGCUUAAAAGUGUUGACGCAACUGCACAACAAGAACCGAACUUGGCUGAUGUUGGAAAACGAUGGAAGCCCAUUGGGGAUGGUUAAUUAAUGAUUAAGCCCAUCUCCCUUACGUUUUACUUCAUUGGGACCUCAGAAAGAAAGACUGGGAAAAUAAAAAGUCCUGAGAAUGUGUUUGUAUGCAUUUGUUUGUGCAGAUAUAUAGGUGAGAUGGGCACACGGCUACGCGGGCAUCGCUCACAGCCCUGCGGAUAAAGCUCUGCCCAAUGAACGUGCAGAGCCCCGCAGAAGGCAGCAGGCAGGAUGCGUUGUUUCUAAGACAAAGGUCAAAUAAAAAAGGAUGUUAAUAAACAGCCCUCCGGUUUAAGGGACUUUUUUUAAGGAUUACAUCUUAAAUUCCAACAAAUCAGAUUUAGGAGUUACUGAAAGUGAAAUUGAUCCAUCCCUCAACCAAACUUUGCAAUACUUUCCUGUUCUGACAUCAUUUAGAUAGUUAGCUGCAUUAUCAG
ensembl:lncRNA